GACGGAGGAGGCAAGCGUUAUCCGGAAUUAUUGGGCGUAAAGGGUGCGUAGGCGGCUGGUCAAGUCUGGGGUCAAAGGCCACAGCUCAACUGUGGAAAGGCCCUGGAAACUGACCGGCUAGAGUGAGGUAGGGGUUGCGGGAAUUCCCGGUGUAGCGUUGAAAUGCGUAGAGAUCGGGAAGAACACCUGAGGCGGAAGCGCGCAACUGGGCCUCAACUGACGCUGAGGUACGAAAGCUAGGGGAGCGAAUGGG
rnacentral:rRNA from 1 species